AUUAUGCUCUGUGCAUAAUCAGAUAGCAAGCCAAAGAUAAAGCUGGGAUUAGAAUUACCUUCUUAAAUCCUUAGCUUAUCAAGAGGUAAAGCUGGUGAAUAUUACUACCUCUGUAGCAGCAGCACCAAACCCUCUCACCCAGGAUUCGAGACCUCCCCCAUCUAUCAGCGAGCUUACAGCGACUGAAGCUGCCACCUGGGACGCAAAACUUCCUGUAACUGAAGGACAUUCAAGUACAUAUCAGUGGAAAUUACUUCAUUUUAUACCACUUCCUAACUAGUAACCAUAGAACCAUGAAAAAAAACAUUCAAAAUCCAGAAGUUUUCUCCUGAAUUCAAUGUAAAUUCAAUCCAAUCACUUCGUACAGACCUCCUUCGUUGUUACCACCCCAAAUUUUCAUUUCCAAUCUCCACAGUCAUACAUCAAGAAGAACGCAAGCUACUUAGAGAAGUCAACAUACUCGCUGUUGUGCAAACUCAUUCUUAAGUAUCUUCGUUUGCCAAAUGGGGAGUCGUCCAACAGAUGUUGAAAACAAGCCUUCCCUGCAAGAUUCCGGGGGUCUAACAGCCCUUGCCUGCCUUCUAAGAGCCCUUCCCUCUUUCUCAUCCUAGACUUCCUUCUUCCCAAUUUCACAAAACCAGGAGUGUUUUGUGUAUACUCGGGAGGAAGCAACAGAGAAAACAAGAGAAAUGCUGUUGGAGGGCAUCUGGGUGUCUCCGUCGGUUGAGCGUCUACCUUCAACUCAAGUCAUGGUCCGAAGGUCCUGGGAUUGAGCCUGGCACUGGGCUCCCUGCUCAGCGGGGCGUCUGCUUCUCCCUCUGCCUCUGCCCGCCCCCCACCCCCGCUCCUGCUCUCUCUCCCUCAAGUAAAUAAAUAAAAUCCUUAAAAAAAAAAAAAAAAAAGAGGUGCUGUUGUAAAAAUUUGUGCUGAUUACUUCCUUAUAUCUAAACUUUGAGCAACCUAUAAGAUUGACGCUGAACCCAGAACACAGGCUGCUUAUUUUCUCAAAAAGAUAAAGCUUGUUUCUAACCUAGAAUUAAUUCUUUGCCCUGACUCCAAGGCAAAUCUGUCUCUCACUGCUAGAUCUAUGAAAAGACUAUGACCUUCCCCCUGAUAAGCCACAAACUGGC
rnacentral:lncRNA from 1 species